GCUCACUACAACCUCUGUCUCCCGGGUUCAAGUGAUUCUUCUGCCUCAGGCUCCCGAGUAGCUGGGUCUACAGGUGCGUGCCGCCAUGCCUGGCUAAUUUUUUUUGUAUUUUUAAUAGAGACGGGGUUUCACCGUGUUAGCCAGGAUGGUCUCGAUUUCCUGACCUCGUGUUCUGCCCGCCUUGGCCUCCCAAAUUUCUGGGAUUACAGGUGUGAGCCACCAUGCCUGGCGCCAUAUAGAUUUUAUCAAUACAAAAUACAGGAUAUUUUGACAGGCCACUUUAUUUAGAAUUGGAAACAAAAGUUUCCAAAUUGUUUGAAUGUGCUAAAUGCUUUUAGCUUUAUUUUUCUAGUCUGAACCUUUCCAGUAGCCUUUCAGUAAGAUGUAAAUAUUGAAAUUAAAUGUAAUAUUUACUGUGGUAUAUAAAACCAGAAACUCCAGAACUACUUGUGUUAGUCAUGAAAUCACUGGCCUAGAGUUUGGUAGCUUCUAACUUCUAUUGCCAGUACUGCUAAAUCUUCUUUUUUUUUCUUUUUCUUUUUUUUUUGUGAGUCAUUUGGUGAGGCUCUUGAUCAGUAAUUUUCAUCUUCAGUUUGUAGAUAUCUUAAGUCUCAGGUGUGCAAUUAGUUAUACUUGAAUUAAUAAAUUUAAGGAUUGAAGGAAAAAUCACCCACUGCCAGCUGUUACUUGUCUGAUUCAGUGUUUUCUGAAAAAAAAAAAAAAAAAAAAAAAAAACCAGGAAAGCCUUUUCCUUAAAACAUUUAGUUUAUAAGUUUGCAUCUUUUCCAUGUCUCAUCUUUUACUAUACUAAUUAGUAUCACACUUAAUUCUCAAAUUGUUACAUGUAAGUUACCUUUGCCUCCCUAAAUUGUAAAUUAUUAGAACCGGUGAUUCUUACUUAUUUUGCAGUCUUCUUUUUCCCAGUGCCUUGCACAGGAUAAGUCAAAUUUGGGGUGCUUAUUACAUGCCAGUUACUAUUCCAUAUACAUUGCAUGUAUUUACUCAUUCAAUCUUGUGAGCAGCUACAUGAGAUAGAUGCGAUUAUCCCUCUUUUACCUGAAAACAGGAUUGAAUAACUUCCUAGGCUAUCAAAGUAUGCGAUAAAUACUGUGACUACACUAUAUUUCCUCAUAUGUAGUAGGGUUUUGAGGAAUACUUUUUGACUGAUUAUCUUCAAUGUGAAGGUUUUCAUUUGCUGGCAUUUAUUUCCAAAACAAAGAUUCCUUUAAUCUAUAUUGCUUGUCUAAAUGCAGAGUAGGAGUAUUAUUUCAUAUUGUAUUCUACUUGUAAUUAUAUCUCGAAUUGCUUAUUUAGUGAUUUAUAACAUCUUGGAGAAAAAUACAGAAUAUUCAUGUAAAACAAUAUUUCAUAAAGAUAAUUGGGUAACAUAUGUAACAAUUUAUAUCAAAUCUCUUGAACUCACCACAAUCUCUAGUCUUUUUCCCCUCCUGUUUAUGACACCAUUGUGCUUUUAGUGUCAGAGACAGUCUUUGUUUCAUAUGUUCAAUUUCUUGCCACAUCUGGAUGUAGCGUAUCUGUAGUGUUUUCUGUUUCUGCUGCUGCUGUUAGGUUCUCUUUACCUAACCUUUCACUAAUUUUAAUCUUAUUUCUCUGCUUUAAUAUUUGUUGCCUAUUUAUGACAUUAAAAUUUUCUUAAAGUACAACUUUCAUGUGCAGAACUUUCAGUGGUGUUGCAUUACCUCCAAAAUAAAAUCCAGAUUUCAUAAUCUGCCAUUCAUCGCCACCUAGUUUGAUCCACUCACUUUCACACAUUGUUUGGUACAAUCAUCUACUAAGUAGGCUUUCUCUUUAUCCUGUACUUACUUAGACCUCUGUUUUAUGCCCACGUAUCCAAACUUAAUUUUUGGCCAGGCGCAGUGGCUAUCUCCUAUAAUCCCAGCACUUUGGGAGGCCGAGGCGGGCGGAUCACAAGGUCAGGAGUUCAAGACCAGCCUGGCCAACAUGGUGAAACCCCGUCUCUACAAAAACAAAAAUUAACUGGGCGUGGUGGCAUGUUCCUGAAGUCCCAGCUACUCUGUAGGCUGAGGCAGGAGAAUUGCUUGAACUGGCACCCAGGAGGCAGAGGUUGCAGUGAGCUGAGAUCGUGCCAUUGCACUCCAGCCGGGGCUACAGAGUGAGACUCAGUCUCAAAAAAAAAAAAAAAAAUAUUUAUUUUUAUUUUUUAUUACAGGCAGUUGGAUAAUAUAUUGUAGAAAGAAAAGAACUAUGAUUCAAACAGUUUAAUAAUGAAAUUUCUUCAAUAAAUCAAGCAUUAUUCCUCUGCAGGAGUUUUGUGUACAUUGUCUAGAAUAAUCUUUCCCAAGCUUUUUGCAUGGCUGCUUCAUUUUCACCUUUGAGGCUGCCUGCCUUUUAUCUUGGAUUAAAUGUAUUCUCUUAUCUAAAUUCUCAGUAUUUAUCAGAGCACCUUGUUUGUUUGAGUCUAGCACUUUAGAUAUUAUUUGGUAAUUUACUAAUUUAUUAUGUAUCUCCCCCAGUAAAUUUUAAGCUGAGAACAGGGACUGUAACUGUUUUACUCACAUUAUAUUUGUAUUGCUUUGCACAGAGACUAGAUAUUAAAUAUUUAUUAAAGAUAGAAAUAAGGAAGUGAUGCUACUUUGUAUUCAAAGCUUUAUAUAUUCCUAGACCUUUGCUUAUCUGUUAAAAACAAGACCUAGCAUAUAACAUAUAUUAGAUGCUCAGUAAAUAUGUUUAAUGAAUAAAACCAAAGUUAUCUUCUGGAAUCAUAAUACAUGAGUUCUAAUACACCCUGGUAGAUAGAAUUAUCUAGUUCUUAUACUUUUAUUUGUUGUUGAGAUGGAGUUUCACUCUUGUUGCCCAGGCUGGAGUGCAGUGACACGACCUCAGCUCACUCCUGGGUUCAAGUGAUUCUCCUGCCUCAGCCUCCCGAGUAGCUGGGAUUACAGGCGCCCACCACAACGCCCGGCUAAUUUUUUGUAUUUUUAGUAGAGAUGGGGUUUCAACAUAUUGGCCAGGCUGGUCUUGAACUCCUGAUCUCAGGUGUUUCACCCGCCUCGGCCUCCCAAAGUGCUGGGAUCACAGGCGUGAGCCACCACGCCUGUCCUAGUUCUUAUACUUUUUUUUUUUUUUUUUGAGACCAAGUCACGCUCUGUCACCCAGGCUGGAGUGCAGUAGUGUGAUCUCGGCUCACUGCAAGCUCUGCCUCCCAGGUCCGCGCCAUUCUCCUGCCUCAGCCUUCCGAGUAGCUGGGACUACAGGCGCCUGCCACCAUGCCCGGCUAAUUUUUUCUAUUUUUUAGUAGAGAUGGGGUUUCGCCAUCUUAGCCAGGAUGGUCUCGAUCUCCUGACCUCGUGAUCUGCCCGCUCAGCUUCCCAAAGUGCUAGGAUCACAGGCCUGAGCCACCACGCCUGGCCCCUAGUUCUUAUACUUUUAUGAAAGACAAAGAAGGUGAAGUGCUCCCCUGACCCCCCAACCCCGAAAAAAGCUUAGUAACAUGCUGAAGGUCACAUAGUUUUGUUGUGGUGACCUGGCCUGUUUUGUUUUUAACAGCAAAGCCCAUGUGUUUUUCUUGCACUUUGUUUACCGUCUGACUACUGCCAUUUCCUUAAUUUCAAAGAUUUUCAACUUGAAUCCUCAAUUUCUUCACAUGAAAAAAUGGACCAUCUAGAUUAGAUGGUUUCUAAGGUCUGCUGUGAUUUUAAAGUUAUGUAGCAUUGUGGCUGUAUGUCUUCACAGCAGUUCAAGAAUAUUGCUUUUAAAGGAAUUUGUAGUUCUUUGUUGGGAAAAUUUUCUAUUAUUUUGCUUCCUCAUAAGUGAUGCUCAUCUUUUCAAAGAAAUACAUAUACAUUUUUAAGUGUAUGUAUGAGUAGUAUGUGUAUUUCUGUCUACAAAAUUAUAAAAUGAUGAAACUAUUCUGUCAUACCUAGAAUAUAAAAGGGAAAAAAGUGUGAAUUCUUUAAAUAUUUUUCUAUGUCCUAAUCACUGGAAGUCCUAUAGUUGUUUCAAACUGUUCUGUAAAAUUUGUCUUGUUGCUUAUGUUCAAAAUAUAUUUCCAUGUUUUAGUGAAGAAAAGUACAAAGUGGCUUGACAGAAAGUGAAAUUAAGACUGCUGGUAAUCCUUUGAAGAGACUUAGUAAUAGGAGUUGGCAAAUAUUUAAGAGUGGCAUUGGAGACAAAUGGCAGAUUCAGGAUAGGCUGUUUCUGUAGGAAGCAUGGUUCUGGAUGAGUGCUGCUCAUAAAGUCAUUGAAAGUUAUUCCAGAUAGUUUAAUAGAAGUGUUUGUUUAGCAAAGACAACAGAUUUUGCUAUUUUGACUGCAUUGAUUGUAUUAGUUCAGAUUUAUGAAAGAAAGAGCCCGGAAUACAGAAAUAAGAUAACAAUAGAAAAUUUAAGCAUGUCAAGAACUCUAAUGCUGGAAUUGUCACAGCAACCACAAAAUUACUGGGCAUCAAUAGACUCCUAAGAAUUAAGAGAAAUUGCAGAAUGUAAGCCAUAAUUGUCAUUUUAGGAACAUUAUGCUAGAGCACAAGUUUAGGAUUGGGCAAAAGAGUUGAUUUUUAAGAUUGCAUUGGUGUUCUCUCUCUCUCUUUUUUUUUUUUUUUUGGAGACGGAUUCUUGUUCCGUCACCCAGGCUGGAGUGCAGUGGCACAAGCUCGGCUCACUGCAACCUCCGCCUCCCAGGAUCAAGCGAUUCUCCUGCCUCAGCCUCCUGAGUAGCUGGGAUUACAGGCAUGCUCCACCAUGCCCGGCUAAUUUUUGUAUUUUUAGUAGAGACAGGGUUUCACCAUGUUGGCCAGGCUGGUCUCAAACUCCUGACCUUGUGAUCCACCCGCCUUGGCCUCCCAGAGUGCUGUGAUUACAGCUGUGAGCCUCCGUGCCCAGGCCAGUGUUCUCUCUUAAAUGUGUUUCAAUAUGGUGGACAUUUAUUGAGCACUUGUGUUGGGCGUUUCAACAGGAGGCACUGGUACGAAAAGUAGCUUGUUCUAGUUCAUAUAUCAUUUGCACUUUGCUUAACUUGUAUAAGUACUUUUUACUGUUUAAUAAAUAUUUUAUUAGAAAAUACUUCUCUGAUCUCUCAUUGAUGCCCUUCUUACUAUUUUAACCAUUGUCAUCUUUGGACAUCUGUCUGAAUUGUGGGUAAGACCUUAACCUUUGGAGUAGAGAGCAAUGCUGCUUACAAAAUAAUGAUUGUUGGUAGUCUGUUCAACAGAUUUGCAAUUUCAAAAAGAAAAAAAUGCAACUUUUUCCCACAUCUUUCACAUAUAUUUUGCAAAUCUUAUGCACAUAAUUCACAUAUUUUGCACAUUUUAAAUGUAAGAUGAUUUGCAUGACAAUCCCCUUAAGUUUUUAAGUGUUAGUUUAUUGUAGAUGCUUAUGUACACAGUGAAGACUGUAGGUCAGUUUUAACCUCAGCCAACAUGAGGUUAACCGGAUGUUCACCUUACUAAUGUUCUUUCGUAUUAAUUUUAAUGCUUGUUAAAUUUACAUUUUAUAUUUGAUACUCAUUUUCCCAAUUCACAAAAUUGGCUUAUUGAAAAAUGAUGAAAAUAGUAACAAAUAUCAUUCGUAAAAAUGCUCCAAUGGAAAUAACUUCAGUGUGAAUACAGAAUGAGAAAAUGUAUGUGCUUUUGGCCGGGCACGUGGCUCACACCUGUAAUCCCAGCACUUGGGGAGGCCUAGGUGAG
rnacentral:lncRNA from 1 species